UCUGGACGCCCGGGUGGCUCAGAGCAGCACCACUGACUUACCCUAACCGCCCUCUCUUAGCCGCCAGCGCCACAACCACAGCAAGAUCCUCGUCCUCGCUCACUGGUUGGACGGUGCCGGAGCAAGUCCAGAACUGAGAAUUGCGUCAAAUCUGACAGGGUGUUCCUGGACCAAGAGGACACUGGUAUCUUGAAAGCCAUUCUCCAGCUUUUUGGUGGAUCCUCCCAAGAAGGUGUCAGUCCAUCCUCAGAAACAUGAUGUCCUGAGUUGCUCUGGUUCUUUAACACGUCCUCCUGUAUCCCUUCAGAGGAGACAUCGCCUCCGCUUCGGUCAUCGCAACCUCACGAAACUCAGCUACCACCAAACACUCUAAUCCCACUUUUUUUUUGGUUUACUCUCUUCUACAAUUCGCCCCGUUUGGUCCGGCAUCUCGAAUGGAAACGAAUGUUAAAAAGUGAAGGGAGAGAAUGAGUUGCUGAAUUGUGGAGUCGUUCUCUGAUCAUCGCUGAAGGAUUUCUCAUUCAUUGACGUUUGAGUUUACUUUUUUUUUCCUUUUUUAUUUUUUUGCUCCAUCAUCCAUUUCUUCAAUGUUCCAUGGAUAUCCUACAUCUGCCAUUCAUACACUGGAUUCAUUUCAAGACCUUAGCCUACUCACCUCUCCCAUGACAGCGAACCAGUUGGUAUGCGUGAAAAGCUUUGUGCGAUGCUGCAUUCUGCUUGGGUUGUUCUAGAGAAAGAUGAUGAUUCGAUUGGCCCCAUGUCUCU